UGUAGUUUUAUUAUUACUUUGUUAGAAUAGCUCAAUGCAGUUUAAUUAAUUGAAGGAAUUAUUUGUAUUUUACUGCCUGCUCAUGUUAGCUACUUAGCCAGACGGGGGACGAAAUUUCUCAAAACUACACCUAAUUCAGAACAGAAAACAUGCUAGGAAUAUCCCUAGGAGAAUGAAGGGUACAACCACUCAAGCGUCAAGCUUAUCUGAAGUGAUGUUGUUGCUUAAGCCGUGCGACAUGGGAUUUGGAGAGACAAAAGGAUGUCCAAGAAGUUGCUGUGCUGAGCAUUGGUUGCUGUUCUUCGGAUGUAGACGUCUAUACAAAAUAUAUGACAUUAAAAGACAGUAGCUAUAAAUUCUUCGCCACUUUAGUUCUUGUUUUUCUUCAUGAUCUUCAUCUAUUCAAGUUAAAGCCUUGAGUGGAAGUUUUUUAGCAUGGCUAUCAUAUUGACAAAUACAUAUUCCUAGAAUAAUAACUUCCUUUAUGACAAUGCCAUUCAAUAAAAAGGAACUUAGAAGUCCUAAA